UUUGUUUUGUUUUGUUUUGCGGGGGCUGUUCUGUGCAUCGUAGUGAGUUUAGUGGCAUCCUUGACCUCCAUCCCCUGGAGGCCACUCUCCCCUCAGAUACUGCCAAAUGCUGCCCAGAGGGUAAAAAUCACUCUCCCUUCCUGGCAGAGAACCAAGGGUCUACAGAAUGAAACCCACACUCAGCAAAGAGCACAGGUGUAGAGCUAGAGAAUGUGAGAAUGUCCCAGUGACAUUUAAGGUCCCCAUUUCAGCUGUCCCUGAGGCUCACCAAAUCCUAGUUCUUCCUGUGGACGGAUUUCAGGAACCAAUCAUUCCAUUUCUUUCCCCCUAAGCCGGCUCAAGUUGAAUUUCCCUAGUUGCACACAAGAGUAUUGUUUUCAUCUAGAAUUUCCAUUUGGAUCUUUGACAAACUGAAAACAGCUCACUUCCCUGCUCCCCACUUCCUUCCACUCCACCCCUCAUCCUGCCAAGCAGGUCCAUGAUGACAUGUAAAGACCUGUAUGCAUCAGGGUUGCCUCCUCCUGGACCAGACGGUGAGGUUUGAGGCCUGAAUGAGGGCAGAGGUAGGAAAAAUGAGGCCUGUGCCAGAUCUGAUGUGCACACAACAGAAACAGUUCCUCUCCUUCCUCCAGCGAGCAGCAGCAGAGGUGCCUUUAUUCUGCAAGCAUUUUGCCCUUGCACUUGGACGUGAAGGAGACUUGGCUCCUGAAGACACUCCCUGGUGUGGUGGGUGUGGUAAAGAACGCAGGUCAAGGAGAAACAAGCCAACCAUUUUCAAACUACUUUCCCUCGGAAGACAAAGAGAGAGCUAUGGAUAA
rnacentral:lncRNA from 12 species